rnacentral:rRNA from 1 species
GCACUUUAAAGGAACCGCCGGUGAUAAGCCGGAGGAAGGUGGGGAUGACGUCAAGUCCUCAUGGCCCUUACGGGUUGGGCUACACACGUGCUACAAUGGCGCAUACAGAGGGUCGCUACCUGGCAACAGGAUGCCAAUCUCAAAAAGUGCGUCUCAGUUCGGAUUGGAGUCUGCAACUCGACUCCAUGAAGUUGGAAUCGCUAGUAAUCGCGCAUCAGCAAUGGCGCGGUGAAUACGUUCCCGGACCUUGUACACACCGCCCGUCAAGCCAUGGGAGUUGGGUGGACCUGAAGAUGGUUGCUGUAAGGCGCUAUUUAGGGUAAAACCAGCGACUGGGGCUAAGUCGUAACAAGGUAGCCGUACCGGAAGGUGUG